UGUGGGAGCGAGCUUGCUCGCGAUGAGUCCAUGACAUUCAACAGUGAUGUCGGCUGACAGAUUGCUAUCGCGAGCAAGCUCGCUCCCACA
rnacentral:misc_RNA from 1 species